UUUGGUUAAGUUAGAAAGGGCGCACGGUGGAUGCCUUGACACUAGGAGUCGAUGAAGGACGGGACUAACGCCGAUAUGCUUCGGGGAGCUGUAAGUAAGCUUUGAUCCGAAGAUUUCCGAAUGGGGAAACCCACCAUACGUAAUGGUAUGGUAUCCUUAUCUGAAUACAUAGGGUAAGGAAGACAGACCCAGGGAACUGAAACAUCUAAGUACCUGGAGGAAGAGAAAGCAAAUGCGAUUUCCUGAGUAGCGGCGAGCGAAACGGAACAUAGCCCAAACCAAGAGGCUUGCCUCUUGGGGUUGUAGGACAUUCUAUACGGAGUUACAAAGGAACGAGGUAGACGAAGCGACCUGGAAAGGUCCGUCGUAGAGGGUAACAACCCCGUAGUCGAAACUUCGUUCUCUCUUGAAUGUAUCCUGAGUACGGCGGAACACGUGAAAUUCCGUCGGAAUCUGGGAGGACCAUCUCCCAAGGCUAAAUACUCCCUAGUGAUCGAUAGUGAACCAGUACCGUGAGGGAAAGGUGAAAAGCACCCCGGAAGGGGAGUGAAAGAGAUCCUGAAACCGUGUGCCUACAAAUAGUCAGAGCCCGUUAACGGGUGAUGGCGUGCCUUUUGUAGAAUGAACCGGCGAGUUACGAUCCCGUGCGAGGUUAAGCUGAAGAGGCGGAGCCGCAGCGAAAGCGAGUCUGAAUAGGGCGUUUAGUACGUGGUCGUAGACCCGAAACCAGGUGAUCUACCCAUGUCCAGGGUGAAGUUCAGGUAACACUGAAUGGAGGCCCGAACCCACGCACGUUGAAAAGUGCGGGGAUGAGGUGUGGGUAGCGGAGAAAUUCCAAUCGAACCUGGAGAUAGCUGGUUCUCCCCGAAAUAGCUUUAGGGCUAGCCUUAAGUGUAAGAGUCUUGGAGGUAGAGCACUGAUUGGACUAGGGGUCCUCAUCGGAUUACCGAAUUCAGUCAAACUCCGAAUGCCAAUGACUUAUCCUUAGGAGUCAGACUGCGAGUGAUAAGAUCCGUAGUCAAAAGGGAAACAGCCCAGACCGCCAGCUAAGGUCCCAAAGUGUGUAUUAAGUGGAAAAGGAUGUGGAGUUGCUUAGACAACUAGGAUGUUGGCUUAGAAGCAGCCACCAUUUAAAGAGUGCGUAAUAGCUCACUAGUCGAGUGACUCUGCGCCGAAAAUGUACCGGGGCUAAAUACACCACCGAAGCUGCGGAUUGAUACCAAUGGUAUCAGUGGUAGGGGAGCGUUCUAAGGACAGUGAAGUCAGACCGGAAGGACUGGUGGAGUGCUUAGAAGUGAGAAUGCCGGUAUGAGUAGCGAAAGACGGGUGAGAAUCCCGUCCACCGAAUGCCUAAGGUUUCCUGAGGAAGGCUCGUCCGCUCAGGGUUAGUCAGGACCUAAGCCGAGGCCGACAGGCGUAGGCGAUGGACAACAGGUUGAUAUUCCUGUACCACCUCUUUAUCGUUUGAGCAAUGGAGGGACGCAGAAGGAUAGAAGAAGCGUGCGAUUGGUUGUGCACGUCCAAGCAGUUAGGCUGAUAAGUAGGCAAAUCCGCUUAUCGUGAAGGCUGAGCUGUGAUGGGGAAGCUCUUAUGGAGCGAAGUCUUUGAUUCCCCGCUGCCAAGAAAAGCUUCUAGCGAGAUAAAAGGUGCCUGUACCGCAAACCGACACAGGUAGGCGAGGAGAGAAUCCUAAGGUGUGCGAGAGAACUCUGGUUAAGGAACUCGGCAAAAUGACCCCGUAACUUCGGGAGAAGGGGUGCUUUCUUAACGGAAAGCCGCAGUGAAUAGGCCCAAGCGACUGUUUAGCAAAAACACAGCUCUCUGCGAAGCCGUAAGGCGAAGUAUAGGGGGUGACACCUGCCCGGUGCUGGAAGGUUAAGGAGAGGGGUUAGCGUAAGCGAAGCUCUGAACUGAAGCCCCAGUAAACGGCGGCCGUAACUAUAACGGUCCUAAGGUAGCGAAAUUCCUUGUCGGGUAAGUUCCGACCCGCACGAAAGGUGUAACGAUUUGGGCACUGUCUCAACCAGAGACUCGGUGAAAUUAUAGUACCUGUGAAGAUGCAGGUUACCCGCGACAGGACGGAAAGACCCCGUGGAGCUUUACUGUAGCCUGAUAUUGAAUUUUGGUACAGUUUGUACAGGAUAGGCGGAGCCAUUGAAACCGGAGCGCUAGCUUCGGUGGAGGCGCUGGUGGGAUACCGCCCUGACUGUAUUGAAAUUCUAACCUACGGGUCUUAUCGACCCGGGAGACAGUGUCAGGUGGGCAGUUUGACUGGGGCGGUCGCCUCCUAAAGUGUAACGGAGGCGCCCAAAGGUUCCCUCAGAAUGGUUGGAAAUCAUUCGUAGAGUGCAAAGGCAUAAGGGAGCUUGACUGCGAGACCUACAAGUCGAGCAGGGACGAAAGUCGGGCUUAGUGAUCCGGUGGUUCCGCAUGGAAGGCCCAUCGCUCAACGGAUAAAAGCUACCCCGGGAUAACAGGCUUAUCUCCCCCAAGAGUCCACAUCGACGGGGAGGUUUGCACCUCGAUGUCGGCUCAUCGCAUCCUGGGGCUGUAGUCGUCCCAAGGGUUGGGCUGUUCGCCCAUUAAAGCGGUACGCGAGCUGGGUUCAGAACGUCGUGAGACAGUUCGGUCCCUAUCCGUCGUGGGCGUAGGAAAUUUGAGAGGAGCUGUCCUUAGUACGAGAGGACCGGGAUGGACGCACCGCUGGUGUACCAGUUGUUCUGCCAAGGGCAUAGCUGGGUAGCUAUGUGCGGAAGGGAUAAGUGCUGAAAGCAUCUAAGCAUGAAGCCCCCCUCAAGAUGAGAUUUCCCAUAGCGUAAGCUAGUAAGAUCCCUGAAAGAUGAUCAGGUUGAUAGGUUCGAGGUGGAAGCAUGGUGACAUGUGGAGCUGACGAAUACUAAUAGAUCGAGGACUUAACCAUAUAA
rnacentral:rRNA from 1 species